UUGAAAAAGAGAACCAAAGAAUUCGAGAUUCGACAGGACCAAACAAAAUUGGUCCUCCUUAAAGUCUUUGCUCCAUUCCCGUUACAUGACAAUAAGCAAAGAGGGGCAGCUGUAGAAGCUCAAUUUCGUCCGGCCUAAUAAAAUAAUAAUAAUAAUAAUAAUAAAAGUCCAUUAAAUAGUCCAUAUUAAAAGCCCAAAUACAAAAAAAAAAAAACUAAAAGCCCAAAAAACCCUUAAAGCCCAAAGACCACUUUCUAAACUUAAACAAAAAGAAACCUUAAUCCCCUAAGACUUCACCAGCCGUCGCCGCUUAUCAGCUUUUCCAUAUCAGCGGGCACGCCUCCCGAAGUCCCCACACCUCGAGGUUUUCCUCUUCUGCCACCAUUUCACCAAAAUGGCAAGGGGCGUGCCUCUCCACCACCGUUGACUCAACCCUUUACCAUGAAAAACUUGCAAAAAAGAAAAAAAACAAAGAACAGAGAGCAGAGAUCAGCUGGAACAGAAACACAGAAGUAGAAAACCAGGAGCAGCAAAAACAAAAAAGGAGAAAAGAAAAAACAAAACAAAAAACUAAUAUCCUAUAAUCUAUUUCACUAUAAAAGCCAAAAACCAUUAUAACAAAAAAAAAGAAAAAAAGAAAUAGAAUACAAAAAAAAACCAAUAAAUUUAAAAAAAAACGAAGGUAGUUCUAUUUUUUAUUUUUUUUACUUUUUUAUUUCAAAAAUAUAAAGAAAAAAAUAAAAGAUUUAAUUUUUUUACCUGCAACACUCCGUUUUUCGCCGC
rnacentral:lncRNA from 1 species